GUUUUUAGUAUAUUCACAGAUACGUGCAACCAUCACCACAGUCAAUUUUAGAACGUUCUCAUCAUCCAAAAAAAACCCCAUACCCAUUAGCAGCUUCCCGCUAUUUCCUUCCAACCACCCCAGCCCUGGACAAGCACCUAUCUACUUUCUGCCUGUAUAGAUUUGCCUACUCUGGCCAUUUCAUAUAAAGGUAAUCAUACAACAUGUGAUCUUUUGUGACUGGAAAGGCAAGUGAUCUGAAGUGACUUAAGUUCAUUUCAAAGAGGAAAAGAGUCCUUUCUAUCAUUUUACGUGGGCUUUUGAUGGGGAGAAGAACAGACCCUUUCGGUACUAGGAACUGGUGGUAAGAGGCAAAGCCGAGUGAGCUAAGAGGGGUGGCCCUCGCUUCCCACUGUUGGCUGCGGCAGGUCCUGGCUGUCAGCAGUCAAUGUCACAGCUUCCGGAGGAUAAUUCAGAUGUUGGCAUAAAGAGAGAAGGACUCGCGGAAGCGGCCCCAUGUCUAGAUGCAGACUUUGUGUCAUGUUGUGAAUGCAACAUGUUCGACAGCAUUCCUGCCGAGGAAAUAUCUCCUACGAUGGGUGCACGCCUCUACAGAAGCAUCUCAAGACCUUUGCAGAAUAAAACGCUGUAAAACACAAUCACCUCCUUCUCUUGGGUAGAUGAGAGGAAAUCUUUACACUCUCCUUCUGGAAGACAGAUGAUGUUUGAAAGAAAACCUGAUUCUGAAAAUCUUAGCACCAAAGCCACGAACUCUUUUGCUAUAAAUGAAGUUGGGGAGGGAUUAGGAUUGAAUCUUGAUGGCGAUAUGAGUGGCUAGAAUUUUCCAACAGUGCUGGUGGGAGAAUAGAAAGGUUUGGCUGCUAUGGAACACUCUCUGGCAGUAUCUGAAAAUAUCAAACAUGUGCCUCCCCUAUGACACAGAAAUUCUACUCACACACACACACACACACACACACACGAGAAAACAGUGCAUACCACCUAAAGACAUGUGUAAGAAUGUUCUUAGUAGCUUUCUCACCGUAGCAAAAAACUGGAAGCAAACCAAAUGUCCGUUGGCAGGAGAAGGGAUGAAUAAAUUGUGGCAUCCGUACAAUGGAAUACAACACAGCAGUAAGAAGAACCACUGAGAUACACAACAAUAUAAACGAAUCUGGCACGAUUUUGAGUAAAAAAAAAAGCUAGAAACAACUGAGUUCCAUACUAGAUGGCUCAAUUUAGGUGAUUGUGAGUGGGCACACGUAGUCCUGAUAAUAAAAGUCACAGGGCUGCUGGCCUCAGGAUGAGGGCGGUAUUGACUGGGGAAGGGCAGCUGGGAACCAGCUGGGGGGGCUGGAAUUAUUCUAUGGUCUUGAUUUAUGUGGUAGCCACACUGUAAAAUUUUCACUUCGGUAAAAAUUUACCAGUUUGUAUCCUUAAGACAAGUGUACUUUACUGUAAAUGUACACACAGAGCCUAGCUAGCUGUGAAAGGAUAUUUUGCAAAGAUUGGGCUAUAAGAAAUCCGAGAGCUGCUUCCCUGGUGAGACUGGCUUAUUCGGUUUGAUUCUUUUGCCCACGCAAUCCGGCAAUCUGAAUCCCUGCCGAGGCUACUCUUUCUCAUGGGUGCCUAAAGUUCCUCUUACAGAGGAAGAAAGAAAAUCUGCCAUGCCUGGUCCGAUACACCUUCUGAAGACUGUAUUUGAAGUUAUGCUGGACGUUACUGCAUUUGAAAAUAGAGCAGCCAGACAGAAAAA